rnacentral:rRNA from 1 species
AGCGAACGCUGGCGGCAGGCCUAAUACAUGCAAGUCGAGCGCCCUUUCGGGGGAGCGGCGGACGGGUGAGUAACGCGUGGGAACGUGCCCUUUGGUACGGAACAACACAGGGAAACUUGUGCUAAUACCGUAUGUGCCCUUCGGGGGAAAGAUUUAUCGCCAUUGGAGCGGCCCGCGUUGGAUAAGGUAGUUGGUGGGGUAAAGGCUCACCAAGCCUACGAUCCAUAGCUGGUCUGAGAGGAUGAUCAGCCACACUGGGACUGAGACACGGCCCAGACUCCUACGGGAGGCAGCAGUAGGGAAUCUUGCGCAAUGGGCGAAAGCCUGACGCAGCCAUGCCGCGUGAAUGAUGAAGGUCUUAGGAUUGUAAAAUUCUUUCACCGGGGAAGAUAAUGACGGUACCCGGAGAAGAAGCCCCGGCUAACUUCGUGCCAGCCGCCGCCGUAA